AGUGAACGCUGGCGGUAGGCCUAACACAUGCAAGUCGAACGGCAGCACAGUAAAGAUUUCGGUCUUUAUGGGUGGCGAGUGGCGGACGGGUGAGUAAUGCGUAGGAAUCUGUCCUGGAGAGUAGGAUAACCCGAGGAAACUCGGGCUAAUACUGCACGAUAUCGAGAGAUCAAAGGCAGGGGACCCUUCGGGGCCUCGCGCUCUAGGAUGAGCCUACGUCGGAUUAGCUAGUUGGUGGGGUAAAGGCCUACCAAGGCGACGAUCCGUAGCUGGUCUGAGAGGAUGACCAGCCACACUGGGACUGAGACACGGCCCAGACUCCUACAGGAGGAGGCAGUGGGGAAUCUUAGACCAUGGGGGAAACCCUGAUCCAGCGAUGCCGCGUGUGUGAAGAAGGCCUUCGGGUUGUAAAGCACUUUAGUUGGGGAAGAAAAGUAAUGAGUGAAUAACUGAUUGCUCUGACGGUACCCAAAGAAUAAGCACCGGCUAACUCUGUGCCAGCCGCCGCCGUAA
rnacentral:rRNA from 1 species